UGGGGAAUUGUGUAACGGUAGCACAGCGGCCUUUGAAGCCGUGAGUCCAGGUUCGAAUCCUGGUUCCCCAG
rfam:Candidatus Woykebacteria bacterium RBG_19FT_COMBO_43_10 rbg_19ft_combo_scaffold_4444, whole genome shotgun sequence.